AUUUGUCAAAUAACUAGUUAAUUCUUAUUUGUUGACGAUCAUUUAAGAGCCGUUGAUUAAUUUGAUGACGCUGUUUUGCUGAUCAAUCGUGGAUUAUUUUCCUAUCUUUUCCCGAUUAAUUGCAGUAGCUUUGGGAGCAUUUCCGAUGUUUUCACGAUUAAUGGCGGACUCUUAGUUACUGGUACGGAUGCCGAUCAUUCCAUCUUUCACCAACCAAUUACCGCCUCGGUUGACUAAUUGCCAUUUUGAACGUUCAGAUCACAGGAUUUGGCGAUCUUUUGGCGAUUAUUUGUUUUCUUGCAAUUGAUUCUCCAUUUUACGUCGAUUAAUUGCCGAUUUGGUGACCAUUCAUUGUGGCUUUUUUUUCCCUGUAUUUGUCGAUUCAUAGCUAAUAGCUGCCAGUGGUUUCUGCAUGUGAACGAAGAAUCCAGCCUUUGGUGAGAUGAAUUGGAACAUGGAAGCAUCGUCUCAGCAUGCAGUUCAGGACAAGUUCCUGCUACAAAACUGCGGAUUCUAUAGGUACUAUAUAUGGCCCCAACCUGGGGCACAAGCAGUGACUCAGAAGAAUUAAUCAAUGCUGAAGGUUUUGAAUUUUGAUGAUGAUUAAUCCUUGUUGAAGCAUUAGAAUACAUGUAAUUCUGAUCAGUAUAGGAAGGCUAGCUAGGACAUUUGAGUUAAUAAGUACAAGACAACAACAGAUUUGGUUGUUGAAACAUUUAUGCUGUCGACAGGUGAAAUGCUUCUUCCUGGAUUGUUCUCAAAACUGAUUUGAACAGCUCAUUGAAUUGUGCGAGAUGAUUUCAUGCAGUCACAUUAAUGUAGUUAACUUUUUUCCCUCUA